rnacentral:rRNA from 1 species
AUCUCUUGGUUCUGGCAUCNAUGAANAACGCAGCGAAAUGCGAUAAGUAAUGUGAAUUGCAGAAUUCAGUGAAUCAUCGAAUCUUUGAACGCACAUUGCGCCCCUUGGUAUUCCGAGGGGCAUGCCUGUUCGAGCGUCAUUAUGACCAAAUCAAGCUCUGCUUGAAGUUGGGACCCGCCAGUCGGCGGCCCUUAAACCCAGUGGCGGUGCUGCCAGGCUCUAAGCGUAGUAAUUUUUCCUCGCUAUAGGGUCUUGGGGACGCUUGCCAGAAGCCUUUAUAUACUAGAUUGACCUCGGAUCAGGUAGGGAUACCCGCUGAACUUAANCAUAUCAAUAAGCGGAGGA